rnacentral:rRNA from 1 species
AUGGCGUCUCUCCCCCCCUUAUCCGCCGCCGCCGCCUCUCUCCUGCGGCACCACGUCUGCUUCAGGCACCCCACCCCUUCCCGGAGCUGCUUCGCUAACAGUGAGAGUUAUGGAUGCUGCGGCGGAGUGCCUGAUGCCGGGCGUUACGCGAGGCUGCGGCUGCGGUGGAGGAGCCCGGUACGUGCCAAGGUUGGCGAGGUGGAGAAGGACAAGGGCGCCGAUUUGGGGCUCCGAACGGACCAGCCCAAGAGCCUGCGGCGGCGCCUGCGGCUCAGGCCGCGGCUGCGCGUGUUGCGGUGGCGUCUCCUGCGGCUGCUGUCGCCGCGGGAGCUCGCGGGCGACGCCGCGGCGGCGCUGCGGCGGGCCAUCCGUCGCGUGCCGCCUCCCGCGGUCGCGUCGGUUGUCCUGGGGGCUCUCCUGCUCGCCGCGCGGCUCACGCUGCCCAAAAACCCGGCCCAGGAGGUGGCCUACGCGGACCUCCUGGCGGGGCUGCGCGCGGGCGCCGUGACCGCCGUCGCCUUCGAGGAGGACUCGCGCCGCAUCUACUUCAGCAAGGCCGAGGACGCCGGCAGCGGCGACGACGAGCGCGAGACCGGCAGGGGCGCCGCCGUGCCGAAGUGGCCGUACUACGCGAGGAGGGUGCCGCACGACGAGGGGUUCCUGCUUGGGCUGAUGCGGGAGGGCGGGGUGGACUACCGGUCUGCUCCACGGCCGGCGGGGAGGCUGCUGGUGGACAUGCUGACCACGCUGCUCACGCUGUGGUUCUCACUGCUGCCGAUGAUGUGGUUCUUACAGAGGCAGAUGUCGUCUGGGGGCAGUGCGGACAAGCGCCGACGGCCCAGGAAGCAGCAGGUAGGAUUUGAUGAUGUCCAGGGCGUGGAUGAAGCGAAGGAGGAGCUUGUCGAGAUAGUGAGCUGCUUGCGUGGUUCACUGAACUACAAGAAGCUGGGAGCAAGAUUACCCAGGGGUGUUCUACUUGCUGGCCCUCCUGGAACCGGGAAAACUUUGCUGGCGAAGGCAGUUGCAGGAGAGGCUGGAAUUCCAUUCUUCUCUGUUUCUGCUAGCGAAUUUGUUGAAAUGUUUGUUGGAAGAGGAGCAGCCCGCGUGAGGGAAUUAUUCAAGGAAGCCAAAGAAGCUGCUCCGUCAAUCAUUUUUAUUGACGAACUUGAUGCUGUUGGUGGAAGCAGAGGUAGAAGUUUUAAUGAUGAGAGGGACCAAACCCUAAAUCAGCUGCUUACUGAAAUGGAUGGUUUUGACUCGGACGUGAAAGUUAUUGUCAUGGCUGCUACUAAUAGACCUAAGGCUCUGGAUUCUGCUCUUUGUCGGCCUGGUCGCUUCUCAAGAAAGGUUUUUGUUGGUGUGCCUGAUUUGGAAGGCCGCAGAAAGAUUUUGGCUGUUCAUCUCAGGAAAGUUCCUUUAGAAGAGGAAUCCGAAAUAAUUUGUGAUCUGGUAGCUAAUGUGACCCCAGGAUUGGUUGGUGCAGAUCUAGCAAACAUUGUUAAUGAGGCUGCUCUACUAGCUGCUCGAAGAGGUGGUGAUAUUGUGGCUCGGGAGGAUAUAAUGGAUGCCAUUGAGAGGGAAAAGUAUGGAGUCAAUGGUAGACAAAAGGGUCCUGAUUCUGCAAGAGAAGGCCUUACCAAGUUAUUUCCAUGGUUACCUAAACCUGGAAAUAAACCAUCAAAUCCAGAUGAUUUUCAAGGACUUAUGGGUUAUCAUACGUUAAGCUAA